UGAAAAUAAAAUUGGCAGUGACUAAUUAAAGAUCAGAGAAGAGAAGAUUGUUGAGCCUAAAAAGAAAUUACAUCAGUCAUAUUAGUGUAGUAAUUCAAUGAGCUAAUGAUAUUUCCUUUAAAACGAAAUUACAACUGCUAACCAUUUUACUCAACAUCAUCAUCAUCUGCAGACAAUGAGUUCAAGGUGAUGCAAGGUAUGGUCCCUUCCAGCUAGUGCAAGAUGAGAGUGGUGUUUUCCCAAGUUCAGUUCCAUACUUAGCUAUCAUGAAAAAAUUGACACAAGUUCUUUUACUAUAUAUUAAUCUAUUAUUAUAGCAUUUAUAGAACAAACUGAAUAUGUCACCAACUAUUUCUUUUCAAGCCAACAGUACUACUACAACAAUCCAAUAUUUGUUUGUGAAAUUUUCACUCAUGAAAUUUCCACAUCUAAAUUUCAUCUCAUAAUCUAUUGUGGGCCACCAAAAUACAAUCUUAGUUAAAUUUUCACAUAUGCAAUUUCCACACCUAAAUUUCAUGUAUCAACCUUGGUAAGGGAAUUUGUGUUAUAUCUAGGACAGCAGCCAAUAAUCCCUCCCUAUAUAAACUAGAUCAUUCACCUGAAAUUAAUUUUCAUAAAAUCUUCAUUUCUAUAUUCUUUCAAACUCAAUGUAGCAAAUUGCACCAAUUUUAAAUUAUAAAUACAUAGUUUAGAUAAGAUAUGAUAACAAACAUUUAACGGGCAUAGAGAAUGUGAACAUAACUUGAUUAGGACAUUACAACAAACAGUUUGCAGGCAAAUGAAGCAUAAAUUAAAAACUUCGAUUCAACUUAUCUGUGAUGAGAAAGAGCACAAGCACGAUGAACAUUGAUACUUCACCAUGUGAGUAAAGCUUUUCAUCCGUGGACUUUCUUAACCUGCUAGCUACAGAAGCAUUUAACAAAGAGAAAUAGGAACAUGAAAAUGAUCAAAUUGAAGAGAAAUUAGUUUGUUUGUUGCAGAUGAAGAAAAACAGAGAGAAUAAGGAAUGUGGAAAGGGAAGAGAUCGGCGCAGCAAGUGAGAUAUGAAAAUGGAAGAUGAAGCGGAAGAGAAGAGAGCUCACCACUGGGAAUUGGUUAGGCGAGCGUUUCAAGCGAAAGGCACGAUGCUAAGCUGCCACGUUGGCUACUUGAUUUAACAGAAAACGGUCAUAUGCGAUGUGAAUUUGUCUCAGUAAUUCCGCGGGUACUAUCCCAUUAGGGCGUGGGAAACAAAAAUGAUAUUUAAAUGCCUCUGAUUUUUUUAAUUAUGGAAUUCAAAGC
rnacentral:lncRNA from 1 species